UAAACGAACGACUGCAUAAUGAUGAAAACAGUAUUAAGUAAUUCAUUUUGCUAACCACAUUAAGUACGUCAUGCUGGUUUCCUUUGAUUUGUGAAUGAACUCGAGGGAAAGCCCGUAUGUGGUAUCUUGUACACGUUUAUAAUUAAAAAAUACAUACCUGUUUCCACAUAGAAUCUAAAAGACCGUAACAUAACACGAGGAAACAAACGUUUUAGGGGAUUGCUUUAGAAUGAUAAAUGCAUUGGGGGUCGUAAAUAAUCUAAAAAAGAGUGUA